AAAAAUUCUAGCCCCACUUACCCCACACAUUAACUCACACCACAAAAAUAUUUUCACACCUUAGUAAGGACGACUGAAAAGCUUACAAGCGCAAUAGAUUCCGUACCGCAAGGGAAAGAUGAAAUAAAUGAAACACCUAAAGCACAAAAUAGUAGAGACUCACCCUCGUACCUUUUGCAUCAUGAUUUAACUAGUCCAACCAAGCAUAAUGAAUUAAAGUUUGACACCCCGAAACUGAAUGAGCUACUCCACGGCAGCUAAACGAGCAAACCCGUCUCUGUUGCAAAAGAGUGGGAAGACCGUCAAGUAGAGGUGAUAAGCCUAUCGAACUCAGUGAUAGCUGGUUUCUCAAGAAAAGAAUCUUAGUUCACCCUAAAGGCCCCCCCAAAUAAUACAAAUGGUAACACAACUUUAGAGCAAUCCAAACAAGGUACAGCCUGUUUGAAAAAGGAUACAACCUUCACUCGCGGGUAAUGAUACUUACUAACACCAAGUAGGCCUAAAACCAGCCAUCUUAGUAAAAUGCGUUAAAGCUUAAUCUUGCAAAUUUUCCCCUCUUUUUCCCACCCCCCCAUCACUAUUGAGAACUUCUAUACCGUAUAGAAAUUUUUAUGUUAAAACUAGUAACAAGAACUAAUUCUCUUAAAUACACGUGU
rnacentral:rRNA from 1 species